rnacentral:rRNA from 1 species
GAUGAACGCUAGCGGGAGGCUUAACACAUGCAAGUCGAGGGGCAGCACGUCCCGACGUAAGUCGGGAUGGUGGCGACCGGCGCACGGGUGAGUAACGCGUAUGUAACCUACCUUGUACAGGGGAAUAACUCGGAGAAAUUCGGACUAAUACCCCAUAAUGAUAUUGAGAGGCAUCUUUUGAUAUUUAAGGUUUCGACGGUACAAGAUGGGCAUGCGUAACAUUAGCUAGUUGGUAGGGUAACGGCCUACCAAGGCUACGAUGUUUAGGGGUCCUGAGAGGGUGAUCCCCCCACAUUGGUACUGAGACACGGACCAAACUCCUACGGGAGGCAGCAGUGAGGAAUAUUGGUCAAUGGGCGAGAGCCUGAACCAGCCAAGUCGCGUGAAGGAAGAAGGAUCUAUGGUUCGUAAACUUCUUUUGCAGGGGAAUAAGUGCAGGACGUGUCCUGUUUUGUAUGUACCCUGAGAAUAAGGAUCGGCUAACUCCGUG